rnacentral:rRNA from 1 species
GACGAACGCUGGCGGCGUGCUUAACACAUGCAAGUCGAACGGAAAGGCCCUGCUUUUGUGGGGUGCUCGAGUGGCGAACGGGUGCGUAACACGUGAGUAACCUGCCCUUGACUUUGGGAUAACUUCAGGAAACUGGGGCUAAUAUCGGAUAGGAGCCCCUGCUGCAUGGUGGGGGUUGGAACGUUUCGGCGGGCGGGGAUGGAUUCGCGGCUUAUCAGCUUGUUGGUGGGGUAGUGGCUUACCAAGGCUGUGACUGGUAGCCGGCCUGAGAGGGUGACCGGCCACAUUGGGACUGAGAUACGGCCCAGACUCCUACGGUAGGCAGCAGUGGGGAAUAUUGCACAAUCGGCGGAAGCCUGAUGCAGCAACGCCGCGUGCGGGAUGACGGCCUUCGGGCUGUAAACCGCUUUCGCCUGUGACGAAGCGUGAGUGACGGUAAUGGGUAAAGAAGCACCGGCUAACUACGUG